GUCCAUGACCAUACCACCCUGAACACGCCUUGGAAGCUAAGCAGGGUCGCGCCUGGUUAGUACUUGGACGGGAGUGACACCAGCACCUUUACUCCUUAGGCGUGCAUCGAGCUCAGUAGUUUAUU
rnacentral:rRNA from 1 species